UACGGGGGGAGCAAGCGUUGUUCGGAUUUACUGGGCGUAAAGGGCGCGUAGGCGGCCACCGCAAGUCGAUUGUGAAAUCUCCGGGCUUAACCCGGAAAGGUCAACCGAUACUGCGGGGCUAGAGUGCAGAAGGGGCAACUGGAAUUCUCGGUGUAGCGGUGAAAUGCGCAGAUAUCGGGAGGAACACCGGUGGCGAAGGCGGUUCUCUGGGCCUGUACUGACGCUGAGGAGCGAAAGCGUGGGGAGCGAACAGG
rnacentral:rRNA from 1 species